UUGAAACCCUCCUUGGAGCAAGAACCCCAAAACUCAAUUCCAGCCUUUCCUUUCUAGUAAGAAACCUUGGAGUAUAAUUUCAGAGAGAUCCAUACACUUAAACACAAGUUAUUGUCUGUAAACUAGAAAAAUGCUUCUUUUUGGACCUUUUUUGGUCCCUUAUUUCUUAAUUUUCAGGGAUAUUAACUCCAAACUGAAUCCAAGCCUUCCCUUUCUUAUAUGGAA
rnacentral:lncRNA from 1 species